CCCCUGGUGGUCUAGUGGUUAGGAUGUGGCGCUCUCACCACCUUGGCCUGGGUUCAAUUCCCGGUCAAGGGA
rnacentral:tRNA from 1 species